UCCCAAAAAAAACUUAGGUUUUCACGUCUAAUGUUUGACCGUCCAUCUUAUUUGAAAAAAAUUAAAAACAUAAGUCAUGCAUAAAGUAUUAUUCAUGUUUUAUCAUUUAACAAUAAUAAUAACACCAAUCAUAAAAAAAAUUUAUAUAAGACGGACGGUCAAACGUUGGACACGGAAACCCAAGAAUUGAGUCUUU
rfam:Oryza glaberrima chromosome 6 Oglab06_0215_8, whole genome shotgun sequence.